ensembl:rRNA 5S_rRNA 5S ribosomal RNA
UGCGACAUGUGCCCUCCUUAGUACUGAUCUCAUCUGAUCUCGGAAGCUAAGCAGGUUUGGGCCUGGUUAGUACUUGGAUGGGAUGAUCCUUUUAAUGUCCUGCUGGAUCCUAUUAGCUAGGAUCUUGUUGAGA